GCGGGUGUGGCGAAAUUGGUAGACGCGCUAGAUUUAGGUUCUAGUUUCGAGAGAAGUGAAGGUUCAAGUCCUUUCACCCGCACCA
rnacentral:tRNA from 2 species